CCAGAGGAGAAUGAAGACCACCUAAUUUUAAUUGGUAAGUCCAGACCUUAUUCGGCAGUUUCAAUGCAUAUACUGUAACAUAGAAAAUGUCACAGAAAACAGAGACAACUGAACAGGUUUCAACAUAUGACCCAAACAGGAAAUAAAGAUAUCUAUGCAGCAAUGAGAGAAACUAAAUUCAACUUUACUUCACUCCUAGAGACUCCAUACAGACAAGGCUCAGAGCUCAGCAGAACAGCGGAGCUGAGAAACCAGACCAGGAGCCAGGUAAAAAGGUAAGUGAUUUUAUUUUUAUUUACAGGUGAGGAUCGGGAUGUCUUGCUGAAAGAGGAGUGAAGCGCAGAGGUAAGUAUUUGUUCUUGAAUGAAUAUUGUCAAUGUUGAGAAGUUAUUAAAGUUUGUUGUUCUUACAGGUUCUUUGGAGGUGAGCAGCAUGGACCAGAGGAGAGUUUCCAAACAGGGAGGAAUCCUUGAGCGGUGAGCGACCAGACUGAAGGUUCCGGAAAACUUGACACCUUGGGUACAAGAGAGCAUGAAGUCGGAUCGCUUCGACAGCCUCCCCAUCAGGAGCUGGCUUCAUUUAGGUGCCUGGAAGGAAUUAAAAGGGAGGCGACAUCAAAUCAAAUGGACAUUUAGGAACUUCAGGGAUGACACCUCAAAAAAACGAUAAAAAGAAGAAAGAAAAGAAGAGUCAAAGACACACAUUUAGCCUCGUUAGCAGCUCAUUUGACUUUUAAAAGUUAAUGGUCAUUAGUGUCUGAAAAUAUGUACCUUGAAUGUUCCUAAAAGUUCCUUACAUUUUAAUAAAAUAUAAA